AUUGAACGCUGGCGGCAUGCCUUACACAUGCAAGUCGAACGGCAGCACGGGAGCAAUCCUGGUGGCGAGUGGCGAACGGGUAAGUAAUAUAUCGGAACGUGCCCAGUCGUGGGGGAUAACGUAGCGAAAGCUACGCUAAUACCGCAUACGAUCUACGGAUGAAAGCGGGGGAUCGCAAGACCUCGCGCGAUUGGAUCGGCCGAUAUCAGAUUAGGUAGUUGGGGGGGUAAAGGCUCACCAAGCCGACGAUCUGUAGCUGGUCUGAGAGGACGACCAGCCACACUGGGACUGAGACACGGCCCAGACUCCUACGGGAGGCAGCAGUGGGGAAUUUUGGACAAUGGGCGCAAGCCUGAUCCAGCAAUGCCGCGUGCAGGAUGAAGGCCUUCGGGUUGUAAACUGCUUUUGUACGGAACGAAACGGCGAGCUCUAAUUCAGUUUGCUAAUGACGGUACCGUAAGAAUAAGCACCGGCUAACUACGUGCCAGCAGCCGCCGUAA
rnacentral:rRNA from 1 species